rnacentral:rRNA from 1 species
UACUGAUGAUCGUUAGUAUGCCCAUAAUCGUGGAAUCAGGCUUGUUCUUGGUUCCAGUCGGUGUCUCACCCCAUCUAAGCUCUCGGUGAGGUGUCUAUUCUUGAUUGGAGCCGCUUUGAGUGACGGCAAUGAUAGUUGGGUAUGUUCCCCGUGAGGGUAGAGCAUAUACUUUAUGAACAGAGCUGGGCUGUCGCCUCACCUAAAACCAUCGAUAACUGGUGGCUGACUGACAAGUCGCUGGAACUGCUCUGCAGGGAGAAUUGUUCUUCACCCUCACCGCCGCCACUUUCUGUUAUCUAUUCCCACUUUAUUUGUUUUUCGUCCAAAGCCAAAUUACCCGAUCCAUCGCUGACGCAUUAUUGCACUGACUUGUUUAUCCCUUUACUAAUAAACAGCUAAAAUGUGUGUUUUAUAUCCCCCCGAGGGAAUUCUGCCAGUGGAGAGCAACUUUCACAAGGCCCAGCGUGCGGCGGAAAUACAAACAUCCUCACUGAGAGUCUCGGUUUAUUAUAUAGCUCUAUGUCUCGCAAGAAACACAUCUAUAUCUUAAAACAGAUGCGCAAACAUUACACUGGAAAUUUCCCGGAUAGGCCUGUGUUAAGGUGAAAUCCGGGGCCCUAAACGACCAGACCUGGCCCCAAGCCCUUUUACGGGCCGACACACGGACUGAACCCUGGCUAGAAGCUUGACUGGUUAACCCAGAGAUUCCGGGUGUCCGUCCAGCCUCCACAUAAAGAACACCUAAAGAUCUCGCUGGUGAUUGCUCCGC